UGAAAGUGGCGCACGGGUGCGUAACACGUAUGCAACCUACCUUAUACAGGGGGAUAGCCCGGGGAAACCCGGAUUAAUACCCCAUGGUAUAGACGAAUCGCAUGAUUUGUUUAUUAAAGAUUUAUCGGUAUAAGAUGGGCAUGCGUCUGAUUAGCUAGUUGGCGGUGUAACGGACCACCAAGGCUACGAUCAGUAGGGGUUCUGAGAGGAAGGUCCCCCACACUGGCACUGAGAUACGGGCCAGACUCCUACGGGAGGCAGCAGUAGGGAAUAUUGGGCAAUGGACGAGAGUCUGACCCAGCCAUGCCGCGUGCAGGAAGACGGCCUAUUGGGUUGUAAACUGCUUUUAUACGGGAAGAAAAGGCCCAUGCGUGGGACAUUGCCGGUACCGUAUGAAUAAGCACCGGCUAACUCCGUGCCAGCAGGCGCGGUAAUACGGAGGGUGCAAGCGUUGUCCGGAUUUAUUGGGUUUAAAGGGUGCGUAGGCGGCUGAUUAAGUCAGCGGUGAAAGACUUCGGCUCAACCGGAGCAGUGCCGUUGAUACUGGUUAGCUUGAGUAUUGGAGGGGUACAUGGAAUUGAUGGUGUAGCGGUGAAAUGCAUAGAUACCAUCAGGAACACCGAUAGCGAAGGCAUUGUACUGGCCAAUAACUGACGCUGAUGG
rnacentral:rRNA from 1 species